rnacentral:rRNA from 1 species
AUUGAACGCUGGCGGCAGGCUUAACACAUGCAAGUCGAACGAGUGGCGGACGGGUGAGUAAUGCUUGGGAAUCUGGCUUAUGGAGGGGGAUAACGCCGGGAAACUGUCGCUAAUACCGCGUACCAUAGGCUGAGCCACAGUGGUAGUAGGUAGUUGGUGGGGUAAUGGCCUACCAAGCCGACGAUCUCUAGCUGGUCGGAGAGGGUGAACGGCCAAACCGGGACUGAGACACGGCCCGGAAUCCUACGGGAGGCAGAAGUGGGGAAUAGUGCGCAAUGGGGGCAACCUGACGCAGCCAUGCCGAGUGAAUGAAGAAGGCCUUCGGGUUGUAAAGUUCUUUCGGUGACGAGGCGUUAAUCACAGAAGAAGCACCGGCUAACUCCGUGCCAGCAGCCGCGGUAAUAC